AAAUUGUUUUGGCGACCUCCCCCCCGUCGCCAAAAAAAUUUCGGUCAGUGUACCAUUUUACGGGUCAAAAAAAUUUUCCGGACAACCAAUAUUUUUCGGAACAUAACACAAAUUUUCCAAAAAUCACAAAAUUUGCCAAAAAAUUUACUUAAUUUUAGACAAAAUUGACAGAAUUUGUCCCAUUUUUUUUAAUUGCAAACCAAAAUUGCCCGACUGUUGAUCGAAUAUUGCCCGACUGCCCAAAAAACUGGGAAAUUGCCCGACUGCCCAAAAAACUGGGGGGGGCUACCGCCCCCCCCCCGCCCGGUACGCCUAUGAAACCGCCACAUCACCAUGAUUUGUCCCUCGAGCAUGGUUGAGGUUCAAGUGCCACCCGUUCCGCGAGUCGUUUCGUGCAGAACUGGCCGUUUUUGAGUUGUACCAUCCUAAACGUUUGGUCGACACAGUAGAAUAAAGUUUUUUUUGUUGAAGACGAUUUUGACAACCAUGCUCCACAAUCAUCGUCGAAGUAGUUCAAGCUACUUCUCAUUCCCGCCUUCUUUUCUCCACGUUUAUCGUUUUUAAUUAAAAAGUCACCUUAUAAAACUUCGCAAAGUUCUUCCACGUCGAGAAGCCGUCCUCAUAAUUUAUUUCUAUUUAGAUCACCGUUUUGCUUCGAGUUUCUGGGAGGAGUAGGCGCGGUCUCCGAAGACUGCGUUUCAAACUGGGGUUUUUUAACCAAACUACUCUCAGUUUUGUUUUGCAUUUCACAAUCGGUGGGCAAACUGUAAUCUUCCGGCAAAGACCUACAGUAGUGGAUGGCGGGUGGUGGUUGGAGGUGGUUAGUUGGUAAAGAUC